UACGAAGGGGGCUAGCGUUGUCCGGAAUUAUUGGGCGUAAGAGCUCGUAGGCGGCUUGUCACGUCGGGUGUGAAAGCCCGGGGCUUAACCCCGGGUCUGCAUUCGAUACGGGCUAGCUAGAGUGUGGUAGGGGAGAUCGGAAUUCCUGGUGUAGCGGUGAAAUGCGCAGAUAUCAGGAGGAACACCGGUGGCGAAGGCGGGUCUCUGGGCCGAUACUGACGCUGAGGAGCGAAAGCGUGGGGAGCGAACAGG
rnacentral:rRNA from 1 species